GAAAUAACUGGUAUAUAUUAAUUUCAGUAUGAAAAAUUAACUCUCUCUCUUUACAAUAACCCAAUCAAUUUUGAAGUCAGAAUUCUAAAUUUAAAUACUCUGAACAACAAUCAACUACAGUUGCAUAGCAUUAUUAAGAAAAUUUCAAGAACUCAAAAGCAUCCAAACCCAGGGCGGCAACGAAGCCAUCGAAACUAAACCUUGGUCGCACGCAGCCAUGCCAACCAACUGAAAUCAUGGGACAAACUACAGGUAUUUCAAUUAGGGUUUAGAAGGUCUCUCUCUCUUCUUUUCUUUUUUU
rnacentral:lncRNA from 1 species